AACAUUAAUAUUUUCAAAAAAAAAUAAGAGAUCGUAUUUCGAAAAAGCCGCCAUUACUAUUGGCUGGAGAAGCCAGACCCACGUGACGCGUUCGUCAUUUCCGGUUUUAAUUUUUU